AGGGACCUCCAUACUUUCAUCUCUCCAUACCCCCUAUUGUGGUCCCGGAACACACCAAUGAAGUAAACAUAUAUGCUUACAUGAGCAAUCUAUGAUGGAGGAUCAAAUUCUGGAAGUAAAAAUAUGUGUUUACGUGAAUGAUCAAAGAUGGAGGCUCAAAUUCUGUUAGGGAGUAAAAUUACUAGCUUACAUGAAACAAGUUUACAAUACAUUCCCAGUAAUUUCUUGAUGUUGCUGUACUGGAUGUCAUCUAUUAUCUCCUUUUCUCUUAAACCACUCAUUCAAAUGGUGUUAGCUGUUAGAAAGAGCAUUUGUACCUCUUGCAUUUUGCAGUUGCAGAUCCAUUACCUUCAUUUGUUUCAUUUUGUGUAUGACACAGAUCAGUUGGGUCAAAAUGUGAAGGGCUUCAAACAGUCUCCACGGCACAGAGAAUUGAGAUGUAAAUCAAGAAAACCCAAGUCCAGCACAAAGCGAAAGUUGCUGGUAACUGCAGAUGACAGUAAUGUCUUAAGGCAUUUGAAUGUUUGUUGUAGAGAAACUUUAAAGCUUUCAGAAGAGUAGCUAGAAAACGCUCGCAGCUUGAGAGCCUGUCUCCAUUUUUUUAUAUUCAAAAAUAAUUAUCAAAUAGAUAUCGAUCAUUUCAUCAAUUCAAUUGAUACUCAACACAUUUUCAUGUUUUGUCCUUUAAAGUUAGCUACUCUUUCACUCUCUCCCUUUAAGUUCUUUACAAUUUUGCAGCUAGAGAUAUAGAGAUUGCAUUUUUGUAUUGAUGGGCAUGCCUUGGCAAACAUCAUAAUUUCAGGAGAGGGGAAAAUAAAUGUUGUUAUUUCGGUUGAGGUUAAUCUAAUUUUAGAUCAAGCAAUUUUCAGAGAAAAAAGGGAUGAAGUACAUGAAGCCAUUCAAUUUGUUCCAUGAUUUGAUGAAGACAAAACCAUUAGAACGAAGGCGUUUGCUUGGUCUGGAAGUUCAUGAUAAAUAUGUUGGCCUUGCUGUUUCAGAUACGAACAACAAGAUUGUUUCACCUCUGAGGUAUGAAACUUUAUUGAACACAAUAAGUUUCAAUAUUUUCAUGCUCUCUCCUGGGCAUUUCAUGGGAAGUUUUAUGUAUUUUUUCAGCAAGACAUAUGUAACAAGUACCCACUAUUGCUAUAAAAUUUGCUAGCAUGUUAUGAUCUACAUAGAGUCAAGGAUAUUUGCUAUGUGUUUUUCUGGGAACUUACUGAGUGCUACCUAACACGUUGGUAAAACUAAUUUUUGCUUGGUCUGCUGGGUUCUUGUUUCCCUUUGCAAAUUGAACGUUAAUCAGAACAUUCAUUCUUGCUAUCAGCAAGAAAUUUCAUAACAGUUAAAGUAAAUAAAAACUCCUUAAUUUUUUUU